GCUUCUGCAUUGACGUUCUGUGCAGGUGCUUUCAGAAUAAUAUACUAAAAUCGUGUAACUGUAUCCAUUGUUAUUCAUUAUCUAGACUUUGCAUCAUCGUUUCCGACAUGGUUGUUAGGACUCUUGGAUUCAAAAUACACGGGGAAUUUCCUUCGACAUGAUUACAGAACUUACAAAGAAAAGAAAAAUAUGAUUUUCAAACAGAUUGUCAAUCUGAUUAUGAUCAACGGUUGACCGACAACAAGAUACAGAGGGAGUGUGAGACUAUCUGUUUAUAUCAUUAUGUUAGAAAACAAGUCCAUUACGUCACUUCGAUAAUCAAAAAUGUACAAACUGUCAAAUUAGAUGGCAUAAUGCUGAUUAUCACACUAUAUAAAAUUGAGGAAAUUGAAAAAUGGUCAGCCUUUUUUAUUUGUAAAUAAAAAGACAAACGAACAGAGUUUCGCAAGGAAAUAAAACAUUGCAGUCUGAAUCUAUUAGCCUAGACUGGGAAGUGAACUACCUUACUAGAGGACAGUUUAAAGUGUACAAUUAAACAAUGAUGCGUCGUUUAUAAAAGUAAAGGAAAAUAGUUGACGUUUAAGAAAAGAUGACUAAAAUGUUUCAAACUAUGUAUAUUGAUGCUUCAUUUAAUUUGUGGUUAGUCUAUAUAUAAUGAUUUAAUAUCCCUGUUACUUAUAUUGACAGACGCGAAAUUUCAAUAAUGAGUAAGGCACAGAUAUAAAAUAAAAGAAAUAGUAAUGCAGUCUCAGAUGCUUAAUGUAAAUAAAAAAAGUUUUUUUUGAAGAUUUGCGUUAGUUCGUUCAAAUUACUCCUAAUUUUUUCGACGCAGAUAUAUAGCAAUCUGCAGUACCAAAAACAUCAGUUCCAACAAAUGUUUUGUCUCAAUAAGUGCGAAUUUCCUAUAUUAUAGAACAUGAUGCAAAAUUAUAAAAAUCCAUCAGUGUUCCACAACAACCUCAAAUACAUUAACCUUUUUGAUUCAUAUGCAGUAUAUAUGCAGUCUCAUUUAAUGUCAAACUUAGAAUGGAUCUUUCUUGUCGCACUAAUGUAGGUAAAUCUAUUCAAAUUUUUAAAUUUUUGAUACAUUCAACCGAUCGUAUCGCUUCGUUGUCAGGUUGUUCUUCAAUCAACGGAAAUCAAAUACAACAUUAGCUAUAGCCGUCCGCCUUUUUAUUUCAAUACACACCAGCAGACGACGUAUGUCAUAUCAAAACAGACAAAAACGUAUAUAAGGACAAGUCAGAGCCACCCACGACCUCGUCCUUAAUUUCAUAAACUAAUAUUUUGAUAAAUACAACAACCUAUUGGUAUUAGAUAAAACUUCCUAUUGAUAUUGCAUCAAACUUUAUUUUAAAUUGAAUAAAACUAUUUAUUGGUAUAAUAAAACUUGCAAAGCAAC